AUGGAAAAUCUUUCAGUUUUAGUUCUUGAUCGAGAUCCGGUUUCCCUGUGGACCAUCUCCAAUACGCUUGCUAGAUUCAACUUCAAAGUUCUUCCAUUCGAAAUAGUGGAAGAGGCCCUAGAUUCCCUUAAAAGGGGGGUUGCUAAAAAUGAGGAGCUUGAUUUGGUAGUAGCGGAAGUUCAUCCUGGCAAUGCAGAGAUGGACACCUUGGUGCUAUUUCACCACAUCCUGAAUGCACUUGAAGUGCCUCUCAUCACUAUGUGUGCCUAUGAUGAAGCAGUCUCCGCACGCAUGACCCUUGCAACAUGCUUCAAUGUGGUUAAGCCGUUGGAUACUGAAACCGUCAAUUUUCUGAGGAUGAGAGCACUUCAACACAGGUCUAUUAAAAAUCACAGGUCUGAAACUGAGGAUGAAAAACAAGAUGCGUUGAACGCGAAUGUCUAUUCAGAGGAUCUGGGUUGGUUCUUAUGGAGCAGUGAGCUCCAUGAGAAGUUCUUGCAGGCUGUUGAAGUGCUUGGGGCGUCUGCUACGGCUCGGAACAUUCACCAGUACAUGAAUGCCAAGGAUUUGAAUUUGACCAUACAGCAUGUUGCAAGCCAUCUCCAGAAACACCGGCUGCGAGCGCAGAGGCAGAGGUUAUCUCACGAUGAAGAGGGCUAUCAACAUUAUGCCAGCAUGAAGGAAUUUUCUGAGAUGAUGUCAUCAGCAUACAAGGCACCCAGUGCUAAACCCAAUAAUCAUUUGGCAACAACCCAGACGCAGUUCACACAUGGGGUUGCCUCUUCUAUCUGGGACAUGUACCCUGGGAUGGUGUGGCCACACAUGGAGGGAAGUUCAGCAGCCUCUGCUAUGUGGUACAAUUACCCCGGAAAGCAGUGGGGACAAGUGGGGGAGAGUUCGGCUGGAGCACGAGUUUCUCAGACUAAUGCACGUCCACCUCCAGUUCUGACACAUGGUACCAAAUCUAUCUGGGACUGGUACCAGGAGAGCCUGCAGUACUAUAAUGAGAGCCUGUCAUACAAACGCGAGGUGCUGCCUGUACAGAGCAAAGCACUUGAUGGAUAUGGACGCGAGAUUUUCAUCAACCUGGAGAGAGAGGAGAUCAGUCUUACUGAAGCAGCAGGCAAGAUUGUCAUCAACCUAGAGAGCGAUGACAUGCAGAAAGACACCAAGGACGAUGUGCACACCGCAGUUACUCCACAGGAAGACACAAUGAACGAGGUGCACGCCGCAGUUACUCUGCAGAAAGACACCAUGGACGAGGCGCACGCCGCAGUCACUCCACAUGAAGUGAACGAGGUGCCUGCUGCAGCCAUGGGCGCUGGUUAUCUGGUGGAUCUAGCAGGCAAUGCCCUGCUUGACGGUAUAGACAACUACCACCCCACCGCAGAGAAUGCGCAGUCUGAGCCUUUCAGUGACUGGGAUUGGGAAGAGGUGGAGAAAUUCUUGACGAACCAGAUGGAAGGACCGGGGCAGGAGCAGCAAGGCAUUGAACUAGUGGAUCUGCUCCAGGUAGACGGCAUUUGA
rnacentral:rRNA from 1 species